CCAUGCAACUUUGGUUAAGUCACUCUUUCCACUAGCUCGCUUCAUUAAACUUGACCUCCAUACCUUGGGCAACAUACUAGGAGCAAGAAAGUUAAGUUUUGGUGAGGUUUUGAAUAACUUCAAAAGUGGUAAGUGAGUGUUUUCGAUUCUUAUUUCAUUAAAAGUGUAACCAAGGUUGUGGGUAGUUAAUUUAUGGAAGAAUUUUUCAAGUUUAAUGUUUUAAUGGAGAUUUACAUUUUGGCAGCCAUAGAAAUUCAGUAUAUGUAGCUUGUUUUUACUUGUUUAUGGUUGUUUAAGAUGUUAUUAAUGGCAGCAUGGAUAUGUGUAUAACGGUUUGGAAUUGGGUCAUUAAACUUGACCUCCAUACCUUGGGCAACAUACUAGGAGCAAGAAAGUUAAGUUUUGGUGAGGUUUUGAAGAACUUCAAAAGUGGUAAGUGAGUGUUUUCGAUUCUUAUUUCAUUAAAAGUGUAACUAAGGCUGUGGGUAGUUAAUUUAUGGAAGAAUUUUUAAAGUUUGAUGUUUUAAUGGAGAUUUACAUUUUGGCAGCCAUGGAAAUUCAGUAUGUGUAGCUUGUUUUUACUUGUUUAUGGUUGUUUAAGAUGUUAUUAAUGGCAACAUGAAUAUGUAUAUAAUGGUUUGGAAUUGGGUAUGUAAAUGGGGUAUGUUCAUGUGGUUAAAUAGUGUAAAUGGACUUUGAAAAAUUCUGUUUUAUAGUGUGCAUAUUGAGAAUGAUUACAAGUUGUCCAAAAUGACCAAAAUGUGUUGUUAUAUGUGUUAAUAGUAAGGUACAAACCAGAAUUGGCAUGAAGGAAGUAGUUUGGUAAGUGUUGAAUAUGUAAUUGGUAAGUGAUGAGAAGUGUGUAGUAGGGCAGUGUGUAUUUUGACUUAAAACCUUAAGUGUGUGACUCCAAUUGGUAUAAGACCAAUUGAAGGUGAAACUAGGCACAAAAUGUGCCAACUUUCAUGAAGGAAGUUUUUCAAAAUUCUGCCUAGAAGGUGACUUGAAAAAUGACCAAAUCCGGAUUAGUGACUUGAAAGCCUGAAAAUUGACCAUUUAGGCAGUAGUUAGUGUUUUGACCAUAAUUUACUCAAAACAGGUCCAAUUGACCUAAAAUUUUUACCAUGAAUAGUUUAGACAUAUAUCUAUAAUUCUUGUGAAGACACCAAAGCCCAGAAAUGGCCAGAAGCAAGUCAAAUAACUUGCACAAGUUUAGGUACCAAAACUGGCCGAACCAAAAUUGACCUAAAAAUGACUUAAGCUUACCAUUUUGGUGCAUUCUGUCCAGCAUUGGUAAAUUGACCAUAACUUGGUCUACACAACUUAGAAUGACCUGAAAUUUUGCCCCGCGUGCAAUAACACAUAGACCUACAAGUUUGUAGUUUGGACCGGAACCCGAAAACCGAUGAAACUAGGUUAUCUGGCUAGGUCAAAUUAGUAUACCAAAAUCUGACAAAUUGCAAUAAAAUGCAAUGUACUUGAAAAUGAAUUUGGUAAUAUGUACCAACACUAAAGGGCUAUGAAAUGUGACAUAUUGGUAACAUUAAACAUAAUUCACCUAGAGUGCAUCGAGGGUCAACAUUUUAGGUUGACUAAGGAAAAUAAUAGAAUUCAAUAAAUUAAUUAUUAAGCCUUAUUGUUAGAGACAGUUUAAAUGAGUACUGAAACACUUCAAAUUGUGCGUUUCAGUUAGCAAAGACUCAGGGAAGGGGAAAGAAACACUGAGUCAGGGCCAAGAGACAUUUAUCAGAGAUAUCGAGACUAGAGGAGCAGCAGAGUGAGCUGCUAAGGAUUGUGGAGCCACCUCCCCUGAAGUUUUAUCGGGUAUAUUUUAUACCCUGACUGUAAAAAUUUAUUUUGAUGUAUGUAAUGUAUGUAAAGGUAUGGACAUGUAAAACUGGUCUUGAGCAGUUUGUAUAAAGUUUGUAAAAAAUUUUAGUUUGAAUUACUCUUAAUGUAAAUUUUUGUAAUGAUGUAUAUAAAUUAUUUUAUCUUUAAUAAAAUAUGAAUGGAAGUAUUUUGUUUUAAA